ensembl:lincRNA
CGGAAAACAAGUGAGGCUUAAUCAAGAUAGGAGUUUAUUUCUCUCUCCCAAAAGAAGUCUGGAAGCAGGCAGGCCCGGGCUGUGACUGGGUCUUCGUGAACUAAGUCCUAAAGAUCUAGACUGGUAGCCCUCUGGCCUCCUCAGAAGAAAGAGAGAGACGGAGGACAGGCCUCUCCCUGGGAAAAACUGCCCGGAAACCCCUCACAGCACUUCUUGGAUUCCUUUGGACAGAACUUGAUCAACAUGGCAACAGCUGAAUGAAAGGGAAUUUGGAAAGUGUCAUUUUAAGUCUGGCUGGCUCUGUGCCUUCCUCAUUUCAGAGUCCCGUCCCUGACGAAGCAGGAGACACAACCAGCAGACUCUGCCACAGUCUUCGCGUAUAUAUCCCAUGUGAUGCCUUUAUCCUCAGUCCUUGGAAAGCUAACUGGAAAAAAAGUACAAAAGGAAAGCAGAAAAACCCACAUCUAGAAGAGGACAAUAGCAGAAGCGUGUGGGAGGCAGCGAUGUGGGGCUCAAGAGGCGACAGGUGAGCAGGGGCACCUGGAAGAAAGCAUUUCAGGUGCGGAGAACAGUGUGCUGAGGACAACGGGCCAAUGCAGCUUUGAUUCCUUCCUUCAAGUCGGUUUUCAGAGGGCACCAAGGUCCACAAUGAUCCUUUUCUCAGG